rnacentral:lncRNA from 1 species
GUGGAGGAGGCUUUCUGUAAUACCUGGAAGCUGACCGACAGAACUUUGAUGAGUACAUGAAGGCUCUAGGGAUGGGCUUUGUCACUAGGCAGGUGGGAAAUGUGGACAAACCAAGAGUGAUUAUCAGUCAAGAAGAAGACAAAAGGUGGUGAUCAGGAUUCAAAGUAUGUUCAAGAACACAGAGGUUAGUUUCCAUCUGGGAGAAGAGUUUGAUGAAACCACUACAGAUGACAGAAACUGCAAGUUUGUUGUUAGUCUGGACAGAGACAAACUCAUUCACAUACAGAAAUGGGAUGACAAAGAAACAUAUUUUAUAAGAGAAAUUAAGUAUGGUGAAAUGGUUAUGACUUACUUUUGGUGAUGAUGUGGUUGCCGUUCACCACUAUAAGAA